AUUGUCUACGGGUCUAAACGUGCCCGAUCUCUUCUGAUCUCAGAAGCUAAGCAGGGUGGGGCCUGGUUAGUACUUGGAUGGGAGAAAACAAAAAUGUACAAUA
rnacentral:rRNA from 1 species